rnacentral:rRNA from 1 species
AGAGUUUGAUCCUGGCUCAGGAUGAACGCUGGCGGCGUGCCUAACACAUGCAAGUCGAACGGAGCCUUAUCAGCAGAAGCAUCCAGCUUGCUGGAAGCGGAAGAAGAAAAGGCUUAGUGGCGGACGGGUGAGUAACGCGUGGGUAACCUGGCCCAUACAGGGGGAUAACACUUAGAAAUAGGUGCUAAUACCGCAUAACAACAGAAAGCGCAUGCUUUGUGUUUGAAAACUGAGGUGGUAUGGGAUGGACCCGCGUCUGAUUAGCUGGUUGGCGGGGUAAUGGCCCACCAAGGCGACGAUCAGUAGCCGGCCUGAGAGGGUGGACGGCCACAUUGGGACUGAGACACGGCCCAAACUCCUACGGGAGGCAGCAGUGGGGAAUAUUGCACAGUGGGGGAAACCCUGAUGCAGCGACGCCGCGUGAGUGAAGAAGUAAUUCGUUAUGUAAAGCUCUAUCAGCAGGGAAGAAAAUGACGGUACCUGAUUAAGAAGCCCCGGCUAACUACGUGCCAGCAGCCGCGGUAAUACGUAGGGGGCAAGCGUUAUCCGGAUUUACUGGGUGUAAAGGGAGCGUAGACGGCAGUGCAAGUCUGGAGUGAAAGGGGGGGGCUCAACCCCC